rnacentral:rRNA from 1 species
UACAGAGGUCUCAAGCGUUGUUCGGAUUCAUUGGGCGUAAAGGGUGCGUAGGCGGCGCGGUAAGUCGGGUGUGAAAUCUCGGAGCUUAACUCCGAAACUGCAUUCGAUACUGCCGUGCUUGAGGACUGGAGAGGAGACUGGAAUUUACGAUGUAGCGGUGAAAUGCGUAGAUAUCGUAAGGAAGACCAGUGGCGAAGGCGGGAUCUCUGGACAGUUCCUGACGCUGAGGCACGAAGGU